rnacentral:lncRNA from 1 species
AGGAGCUGCAGCCCUUAAUCUAACCAUUCUAAACCGUGGCAUGGACACUACAUUCUCAUUGUAGCUGCAAGUUUCCGAAUCACUUCUACAUUUCAUGCCACUGUUUCUGUUAACCUGUAGCGCUUGAGUGUUUGUUGGUGAACAAACAAAAUAAAAACGACAUCAGCGUUAGUGCUUCAAAUUUUAUUUUAUUUAAACAGAGGACGAAGCGCUUCUUGAUCACAAGAGCCACACGGAAAGCUUUCUUUUUUUUUCACAUUUUGUACCAAACCCAAAGCAUGUUGACAUUUAACCAUUCGAUCCACAUGAAGUCGUAAAAGCUGGUUAUCGGUCAGCUGCAGGGUUGAUUUCGACUGCCACUGGCUGUGCGCCCCCUACUUAAGUAGGGCUCUGCUCAUGCAAAUGAAGCUCAUGUAAAUGAAAAUAAGAAGCAUCAUCACUGUUAACAUGGCAUGUAAUACACAUGCAUCACAUGUAACACUGCUGUAUGCAUCUGUGUGAGAGCGACAACUGUGCACAUAUAUAAAAUAAAUAUACAUUUUAGUAAAGCACGGUGUGACAUAUGAACAGAGAAAGCAUGGCAUAAAAAAAAAAAGACUGGCACAUCUUUCUUAAUCUCUGCUUUUAAAGGGACACUAUAGAGAAACACUAAACCAGUUUUGGCUGGUAACAUAUUUCCAAAGCCUAUUUUUAUUAAUUUUGUGCUAACAAGUUGAUUGAUUAAAGUGAAAAUAAAGGGCAAACUUCUAUUUUUCUAAUUUGGCGCCGAAACCCCAGUGUCAGUACGUCAGCGUGCCGUCACGAACGUCAAUGUACUUUCCUGUAUUUGGGUCCCCAUUGUGGCAUAACAACAGUUGCCGAAACUUGCCAAGUUGGACCUUUGGCUCCAUUAGAAUAUGAGGUACAUCUUUACCGAUAGAAAAUUAACCAGGCCCAAGCAGAAGGUGUCAAAAUCCAUGACGUUAUGGCAAGCUAGUGUGGGAAAUUUUAGGUGGCUUCGCAACCUUCAAUCAUUUUUGCGUCUUUUCCGAUUUACUCAGGCCUCCUGUCGCAGCAAGAUUGGCUUUUUUUGAUAUCGCAGAAGGGUAUUAUACUGAUGCAGCUCAAUUUACUGUUAUCUUUAGUGUCCCUUUAAAUUUCCUGCCGUGGUUGGUAGCCAGUAAGUGCACAGGGAAUAUGAUGCGGAACAACUCAUUAAAAAAAGCAAUGGGGUGUCUUGCAGCAAAAGCUAUGCAAGAUGAAAGUGGUUUGCAAAGGUGGAUUAGAAAGAACACAGGACAAAUGAGGGCAUGAAUGUCUGACCUCACACUUCACCAACCAGAAGAGAAGCACGAAACAUCGUUUUGACAGCAAGUUGCAAGUGACAAAAAGGACAAACAAGAAAAAAGCUUUUUAUGCGCAUUUCACUGCUCUGAUUCGUAGAGUAUAAAAGUCUAGCUUUCUCAUUCUAAAAUAUACCAAUGCCAAACUCACAAAAUAAUAAACAUUUUCCUGACAAACACUGAUAAUUAUAACCCAAGUAGCACAACAUGCGAGGCCAAUGCAGACUCAAUGUUAGACAUACGUUGGCAACAUCGGUCCAAUGAUGGCACAAUAUGGAGAUUACAGUGGCUUAACUCUUUGUGCUAGAUAGAUUAAUAAUAAAAAAUAAAGGUCGCAUUGUGCUAAUAUCCUAAAGGAGCAAAUAAAGUGUACAACCCAUCAUCCAGUGACAACAGUUGGCACAAGGGCCAGAGCCAAUCUUUAAGAUGAAAAACAUCCACACUUAACCAUGUGAGCAAAUUGUGUGAUUCACACUUAGUAGUCAAGGAAAAUGCCCAGCAAAUUUCCGACAAAUGGUCACACAUGACUGCGGCAUUGCAAACUACAUUAGUGUGUACAGAAAAAUGCUUGUGGAACAUUCAGGCAUCUGCGUUUCACACCAUUUCAACAGUACACUUGUAACUGUGGUGGCACUUGAAGGAACUUUAAGAGAAGCACAAUCAUCGAUGAGAGCACACCACAUCUCACAAAGUAUGCAUCCAACACAAGCUCAUUUAGGCGAUCGCUGCACAACCACAUAAACUUCAUAAAACGCACUGAGCUCGUCAAUGAGCUCAUUCCUGCAUUUAUAAAUGCUUGCUUUCGACACUUUUUCGAUGUCGGAAAACCCUGACGGACAUUAAACAGAAAUUUCUUCACAUCGUCACAAUGUCAACAAUCCUGAACAACAAUUUCCACAGUAGCCACACAAGCACGAUGACAGUUUCAAACUUGUCCAGUAACAUUUAAAAGGCAGCCCCAGAUGUCAUCAAUACUACAAUAAUAGCCAAUGUAACCAAAUCAACAUCAGGGUUGCCAGUACUCUAAACAAAUCAUCAACCAAGUUCCUGGUAAGCUUAUUCUGGUUAAAAACUUACCAUGCACUCACCAACUGCACAUACUCUCAAUUUCAGUGAAAGAACAAACGAACAAACGCAACCACUCUCAGCAUUUGACUGCCCCAAAGCCAGCUUUCAAUCAGCUAGUCUGCUAAAACUACUCGGUCACAAGUCAGCAUAAAAAUUCGAUUCCAUUUCCUGCAUAUAAAAUAUAUUUCAAACACUCCCUAUUUAUGGCAGCAAACUGACGACUAUUCAUGCAGACACAUCCGAGAGCCAAGCAGUAGCCAUUCAAUCAGCUCACAAAAUGUGCAAAAGGUGACAAAAUAUAAUGGCACUUGUAAUAUAUUUCAGCAUAUACCAGAAACACGCACCACACAGUAGAUUUCGUCACAGGUCAUACCUAACUACUACUUGAGUUCCAAUCAAGAAAGGAAAUGAAUAAGUGAACAUCUGCUCUAACACCUGGGGCCUGUUAAUUACAAGUUCAGAGCAUAAAUUUAGCAAUCACACUUGUCACUGCUCUCAUUGUCUACUUUCUUGGCCAUACUUCUAUUAUAUUAUUUAGAUAUAGAAGCACUGGCCACACUGUACAAUCACAAUACAAUAACUGCAAGUGUGCACAAUGUUUCAAGUUAAACAUUUUACAGGAAGACUUCACCAUAAACAACGAAGAUGGCAGCAAGAAAUGUGUUCACUGUGAGUCAAAAAUGGCAAACGUAAAUGUCUAUACUGAUUUGGGUUGAACUGACGUGACCACAAAUCGUUGAGAGGUUGAAAUUUCAUCUAGUAUGCGUGCUAUACACAUGUGCCCUUUGGCUACCACGAACACAUUACUCAAAACCAAAGCUUAUUAGAGUGACACUUGCGAUACCAUCAUCAUGGCAUUGUGCAGUCAUAAAACGAUGUAAACGGUUUCGUUUCUUCAAAUUCUGCCAAACCCUUAACAAGUUAUCAUGAUUCAGUGACACCACUUGCCAACGUUCCACACAUAGCUCACCGCGCAAAACAAUGUGACCUCUGUUUAAAACAUACACUAUUUACAACCAUUAGAAGUGCGCCAACUUGAGACCACAACAGCACCACUUUUAUAAUCACAAGAAAGACACGGUUCACAUCAUUGUGCAUCAUAUGUUAAGUUUCUGAAAUGUACAUUUAUACAAAAAAUUGCAGCAAGUCGCAUAAUUCUUUCUAACAAAGUGCUUUCAGCUAACACUAACUAAUUCAUGUAGCUCAGCAUUGUGCAAACAUAAUAAAACCAAACAUGCUUUUGAAGCAAAUUACAUUCGGGCACUGCAACAUAAAGCAUGCUUUCCAACAAAGUGCUUUCAGCUAACGCGAACCAAUUUAUGCAGUUAAGCAUUGUGCAAGCAUACAUAAACCAAACAUGCUUUUGAAGCGAAUUUCAUUAGAACUUAAAGCAUUGCAACAAAGCAUGCACUAGCAUCGAUAAAGCAUUUGUGCGAGCUGUCACACGGUGACCUUGCUUCGGUAGCAGAAGAAAGACGUGAAUAGUCAUGAAAGGGAUAAGAAAAUCAGCAAGGAGGGAAAACAGUGAAGUUAAGAAGAUAGUCACAACACAUCUGCAAUAGUCAUGAACAUACAGCAUUUAGCGCCCUCACAUUACAUCCAAUAGGAAAGGAAUGUGGCCACAACAAACCUGUUUUGAAAGGAAUGCAACUUCACAGUAAGUUCUCAAUAAUCUUAAUUAUACUUUCUUUGCCUAAAAUCAAACAGAGUUCAGGAUAUCACCCUACUGCCCCAACCUAUUCCUUAGAUGUUUUACAUCUGAUAGUUUUAGCCAAGCUUUAUCAAGCUCUAUUUCUUUUGACAAACACCGUACUAGGGUACGCCUGACUAGCCUCUACCUUCUGAAUAACACAUUAGAUAUUGUACACUUGGCUCUCCGGCCAAAGUGAUUGAUACUGCUGAUAGUCGGCGAUCUUGUAUUCUCUGAAAUCUGCCCAAAGCAGAAGCAGGCAGGCUAGUUAUUGUUUUUCAGUGUUCUUUCUUUUCUUUUUGCUUUGGCACAGUACACUAGGCUGCAUAUUAUCGAUAACCACAAUUUCAGGGGCAUUAGCCAAAAGAGAUCACAAGCGUACAAUCUCAACAUGCAUCUAUAUUUUACUCAUAAGAAGAUGAAAAGAGAGAUAUGCAGCCAUGUAAGAGAAUUGUGGCACCUAACUUGGAAACGGGAUAUAAAAUAAAAAUAGGUUGGAUGUAAGAAAGUUUUAACGAUUCUUUUACAACCACCUCCCAACCCGAAUGCUUAAUGCCAUAUGCUCUUGACCUGCUCCUCAAACGACUAUCUGGCAAUACCAUUAGUGUUCAAUGACUUGGAGAGGAUAAUGUUUGCCUAAAUCUAAAAAAUGAAGUUGACAUACUUUUUCAGGCAUUGACUAAUUGCACAGUUCUUUGGGUGUUUAACUUGAAACCACUAGGCUUUUACCGGUAUUUUGUAGCAAUGCGUUAUGCUUGAUUCUAUACUAGUCUUAUCAUUCACCGCUCACCGCCGGCUGAUCCCGUUGAUAACGUGAGAGGACCGUCACUCUGACCACUGACCAAGCGCAAAAAGGCAUUAGCAUUGGAAAGGCAUCGCUACAAAAUACUUGCCUUGGCCAGCACAUUGACAUCAUAGGUGGCUCAACGUCCCAUGUGCACUUGUAUUAUGCAAGAAUGAAGCAUACUAUGCAAUCAGCUUAAAGGAAUUUAUGUGCUCAUGAAUGUGUAAAAGAUUAACUAAAGGGGAGGUGUGAAGUGUUAAGGGACACCUAGAUGUUACAGGUAGGGAUUACAAAAACGCAUAUGGCAUUUUCCAUUAGUUGUGCACUAAGUAACGCUUCCAACUACAUUGCUUUUGUAGGUCAAUUUAGAUCUACAGGAAACAACUAUUUACAUGAGGUUACUGUGCACACAUGGCCAAACAAUCUUUUUAAAGGGGCAUUGAGACACUUCUUUAACUCAGUAAGAAAACAUUCCUGAUCUGUAGACAAUGCUGAUGAGACUAUGUGAACCAAACAUUAUGCCUUUGCAUGGGCACUAAAGCUACAAUCCAGCAUAACAUAUUGUUUGCUCUGUCCUGCAGCUUUUGGGGUCCUCGCUCAUUUUUUUCCCCCACCCUUAGCCAUGCCAGUGAUAAUGUUCCAUGAAGCGCAAAAGCCCAUGCAUCGGUAUAUCAGCUAUCGGCCAUGUGCAUGCACAUGCUUCCAGAUUUUCUACGAAUAAGGGGAAGUCGUGAUUAAUAACCUUUGAACUACCAAGCUUGUCCUAGCUGUUCCUACCAAUAUUGCCAACGAUGAGCCGUACCUGUCCGGGACACAGCUGCUUCUGCAUCGCUUGCCAGAGACGAGCCACACUCGUUAACUAAAAUUGCGUUGCAGCGUUUUGGUUUUAGCACUUGGACAUAAUCUUGGACGCAUUGAUUCUUUUCAUUAUGAUCUGCCCAGGUAAUUACGCUCGAACCAUUCUACACGUGCUGAGGGAAAGUCUCUCUUUUGGAGCAGAUGUCCUUCGCUUAUAUUUCGGAUCAAUAUAGGAGAUAAACCGCACGCAUAAUAUCUUUAUCGAAACAGGAUAUAAUGUGCAAUGACUUGCCAGAAUAAAGAAACACUGUAAAGUUUGCACACUAUCUUUAAGAAAGAACUUGGUAGUUAAAGGGUUAAUGUGUCCUGACUGUUCUGAGACUGUUGCUUUGUUGGAGUACCAUUGUCAGAUGCCAGCCUCGAAGGAUUGCCCGUAAGUGCACUGCAUAGAGAAAAGAAAAAAAAAGGAGCGAUAGGCAGAGAAAUGCCAUUGGCACUGCCCAGCUGAGAAGAACCAAUGAGUUGAGGGGGAACGGGGAAAGCCAACUUUGCAUUCAUUA